UACGAGAGGCCCAAACGUUAUUCGGAUUUACUGGGCUUAAAGAGUUCGUAGGCGGCGCAGAAAGUAGGGUGUGAAAGCCCUCGGCUCAACCGAGGAAUUGCGCCCUAAACUACUGUGCUUGAGGGACCUAGAGGUGAGCGGAACUGAUGGUGGAGCGGUGAAAUGCGUUGAUAUCAUCAGGAACACCGGAGGCGAAGGCGGCUCACUGGGGGUCUUCUGACGCUGAGGAACGAAAGCCAGGGGAGCGAACGGG
rnacentral:rRNA from 1 species